GAUGAACGCUGGCGGCGUGCCUAAUACAUGCAAGUCGAGCGAACGGACGAGAAGCUUGCUUCUCUGAUGUUAGCGGCGGACGGGUGAGUAACACGUGGAUAACCUACCUAUAAGACUGGGAUAACUUCGGGAAACCGGAGCUAAUACCGGAUAAUAUUUUGAACCGCAUGGUUCAAAAGUGAAAGACGGUCUUGCUGUCACUUAUAGAUGGAUCCGCGCUGCAUUAGCUAGUUGGUAAGGUAACGGCUUACCAAGGCAACGAUGCAUAGCCGACCUGAGAGGUUGAUGGGCCAACCUGGACCUGGGACACGGCCCAGACUCCUAGGGGAGCCAGAAGUAGGGAAUCUGCGGCAAUGGGCGAAAGCCUGACGGGGAAAGGCGGCGGGAGUGAUGAAGGUCUUCGGAUGGUAAAACUCUGUAUUAGGGAAGAACAUAUGUGUAAGUAACUGUGCACAUCUUGACGGUACCUAAUCAGAAAGCCACGGCUAACUACGUG
rnacentral:rRNA from 1 species